CUCUGUAAACUUCAGCAUUGAUGAUGAACAUUAUUUCAAGGAAAUAUCCCACUACUUUAUCUCUGUAAAGACAUCCAUAGAGAAUGUAAGUUAUAAUUUCCUUAUUCAUUUUUCUGGUUAGAGAAGGCAUUUCUAUUUUAAUGGUCAAUUAUUAUAUUCUGAAUUUGCCACAAGUCUCCUUUUCAUAUUUAAACACUAGGGUUUUUUUUUGUUUGUUUUUUAAAUUCUUAAGAUAAAUAGAAAAGUUAAGGUUAGAAAAUGUUCAAAACAAUUGCUCACCUUAUAAAAUCUUGUUAGGGAAGUAAUUUUGCUCAUUUCAUACUGUUGACAUUUCUGAAUUUCAGUAAUCAUUAAUUUUUUUAAAGCUGCCAGCAGAUAUGUACAAUACUCCUUUUAGAUAUUAUUCCCAUCAAAGACAGAUUUCACCUCUUUCACUCUUUGUGUCAUUUCUCUAUUAUUUUGAAAAUAUUACUAAUGCCUUCAAGUUCAUUUGUAUUCUGUAAGAUUCUCCUUGUAUCCAAGCAACUCCAUCUGAAAAAAUAAUUUGUUUUUUUUAAUGAGAGAUAUAUUCAAAACAAAACCCUGCAUAUAUUUAUGAUUUUUUGGUAAUAAUUUUCAUGAUACUAAUUUCCUGGAAAGGGAUUUGCACUUCACGAACAAACAGUGAUUUCCUUUGAAACCUUCUCUGGUCUAUGUCACCACAGUUAUCUAAACAAUUUAGAUGUCCCUUUCUUGACUAAACUUUUAAAAAAUGUUGAUUCUGUUCUGUUUUUAGAAAUGAUACACAUCAUCAGAUAAUUUGUAAAACAGAAAAUAUAUUAAAAAAUAAAAACUUCCUUAAAUAACCAUGGGAUAAUCAAGGUUGUAGUAGACUGCCAAGUGAGUUAUAAAAACUCCAGAAUUAUGUCAGAAUUAGACAGAUAACCAAAGAAUCUGUGGGGCACUUUGAUGAACUCAAGUGAAUCCUUAUAUUCAUCUUUACUGAGAAAACUGUUGGGAAUGAUUUCACUUCCAUUUUUUUAAAAAUAUAAAGCAUAUCCUUCAGAGUGGCACAUGCAGAAAUAUUUUUUAUGCGUGUAUAUUUACUGUUAAGUACACAAUACGCCUAUGAGAACAACCAUAGCUAAUAGCUUUAAGAACUGUGCUUGGGGCGAAGGGAAGGAAUGUGUGGCUGGAGACUUAGUUUGGCAUGACUGAGAAGCACCCAAGCGGAGUAAGGACGGGUGUGUCGGCUGCAGCCAGGCGGCAGUUCUGGUACUUCUCAGUCAUGACAUUUGGGGUCAGGUAACUGAAUCCUCAUCAGCAAAAAGGGGAUAAUAGUAGUAAUAUAGCUCUCAUAAUAUUGUUACAAGAAUUGCAUAUACUUAUAUUCACAAAAUAAGUAAAAUGUUUUGAACAGUGUCGUGAAGUUAUGUCCUAUGCAGGUAUUUUACUGUAAUUGACUUUAUUUUUGUUUUAGAGCAGUUUUGGGUCCACAGGAAAGUUGAGU
rnacentral:lncRNA from 10 species